GGGAAAAGGGGGGCAGGUGGGGGGGGUAAUUGGUAGGGGGCGAGCGUGGUCCGGAGUUACAGGGGGGAAAGAGCGGGCAGGGGGUCGUACAAGGGGCGGUGGAAAGCGCCCGGCUCAACUGGGGAGGGUCACGCGAUACUGUUCGACUCGAAGGCAGGAGAGGGAAGUGGAAUUCCCGGUGUAGUGAUGAAAUGCGUAGAUAUCGGGAGGAACACCAGGGGCGAAGGCGACUUCCUGGCCUGUUCUUGACGCUGAGGCGCGAAAGCUAGGGUAGCAAACGGGAUUAGAUACCCAGUAGUC
rnacentral:rRNA from 1 species